rnacentral:misc_RNA from 1 species
GGGGAACUUUGAAAAAAGGUUUAAAA